rnacentral:rRNA from 1 species
UCAGAUUGACGCUGGCGGCAGGCCACACAUGCAAGUCGAACGGUAGCACAGAGGAGCUUGCUCCUUGGGUGWCGAGUGGCGGACGGGUGAGUAAUGUCUGGGAAUCUGCCYGAUGGAGGGGGAUAACUACUGGAAACGGUAGCUAAUACCGCAUAMSKUCGCAAGACCAAAGAGGGGGAYCUUCGGGCCUCUYGCYAUCRGAUGUGCCCAGAUGGGAUUAGCUAGUAGGUGGGGUAACGGCUCACCUAGGCGACGAUCCSUAGCUGGUCUGAGAGGAUGACCAGCCACACUGGAACUGAGACACGGUCCAGACUCCUACGGGAGGCAGCAGUGGGGAAUAUUGCACAAUGGGCGCAAGCCUGAUGCAGCCAUGCCGCGUGUAUGAAGAAGGYCUUCGGGUUGUAAAGYACUUUCAGCGAGGAGGAAGGCSUKGWGGUUAAUAMCCKCAGSGWUUGACGUUACUCGCAGAAGAAGCACCGGCUAACUYCGUGCCAGCAGCCGCGGUAAUACGRAGGGUGCAAGCGUUAAUCGGAAUUACUGGGCGUAAAGCGCACGCAGGCGGUCURUCAAGUCGGAUGUGAAAUCCCCGGGCUCAACCUGGGAACUGCAUCCGAAACUGGCRRGCUAGAGUCUKGUAGAGGGGGGUAGAAUUYCAGGUGUAGCGGUGAAAUGCGUAGAKAUMKGRAGGAAYACCGGUGGCGAAGGCGGCCCCCUGGACAAAKACUGACGCUCAGGUGCGAAAGCGUGGGGAGCAAACAGGAUUAGAUACCCUGGUAGUCCACGCCGUAAACGAUGUCGACU